rnacentral:rRNA from 1 species
GAUGAACGCUAGCUACAGGCUUAACACAUGCAAGUCGAGGGCAUCAGUUGGUUUGCUUGCAAACCAAAGCUGGCGACCGGCGCACGGGUGAGUAACACGUAUCCAACCUGCCUCAUACUCGGGGAUAGCCUUUCGAAAGAAGAUUAAUAUCCGAUAGCAUAUAUUUCCCGCAUGGGUUUUAUAUUAAAGAAAUUCGGUAUGAGAUGGGGAUGCGUUCCAUUAGUUUGUUGGGGGGGUAACGGCCCACCAAGACUACGAUGGAUAGGGGUUCUGAGAGGAAGGUCCCCCCACAUUGGAACUGAGACACGGUCCAAAACUCCUACGGGAGGGCAGCAGUUGAGGGAAUAUUUCGGGUCAAAUGGACGCGAGUCUGAACCAGCCAAGUAGCGUGAAGGAUGACUGCCCUAUGGGUGUAAACUUCUUUUAUAUGGGAAUAAACGUGGUCCACGUGUGGAUUUUUUGUAUCGUACCAUAUGAAUAAAGGAUCCGGNUAACUCCGUG